ACGAGCAUGAAAUAUUGUCAGUAAAAAAUAUCUCUAUAUAUUUUAUUAUAUUUUAUAUAUAUUUAUUGUAUUUAUUAUUUAAAAAAUAUAUAUAUAUAUUUUUUUUAACCUGAUCUGCAAAUGACGACGUCUGGUCAUUUAAAAAAAUGCAAUAGGAGCCUUGAACACAAAACCUUGCAAUUUUUUUUACGUGAACGUGAGCAAUUUCCUACAGUCCCUGAAGGCCACACGUGCCAGUAAGAGGCCAGCGGGCGGGGCAUGCCGCGGGCAACGCCGCCCCCUCUCCCUUCCUGUUCUGGCGCUCUUCCGGGCGCUUCCGAGGCCGGGAGACGGGCGAGUCGCGGGAGUAAUAAAGAAGGCGAAUCAAUAGGGCAUGCGAGGAAGCCGAGGUGGCGCCAUUCAUCACGCCGCCCGGCCGGCUGACUGGCGUCGUCCAUCAUGCUCAAUGAGGCAGCAAAUAGGAAAAUGACUAUUUGGAUCAAACACAUCUGCACUCAUCCGCCCGCCUCUUUUAUUCCCAUUAACUGCGCCCCUAAAAUCCGCUUGUUGUUUUGCCCCCGCCACGUUUGGGAUUUUUUUAUUUAUUUUUUGCGCCGUAUUUAAAAGCAACUACCUGGGCCUUCAGUGGGGACUUAAGCCACCUAUUAAUAGCAACACUAUCCCUAACCCUAACGUCAACGCAAUGAAUACUAUCAAAAAAGGUUUGCUCUGGCUAACCAAUCAGAUAAGGGACCAAUGCUGACAUCAUCGAGGGCCACCGCUCUGGCCCUGUGAGGGCGAAUUAGAAAUGUGAUUGGUUAAAGAAACCAACUGCAUUGCUAAUGCAGUUUUUCCUUGCGUUGCGCCAGCCGCACGACUGAUUGCGAAGGUCCUGGGCAGAUUACACUGACAUGGCAACGCAUUGAGGCUAACAUCUGAUUGGACAAAAAUAUCUCAUACUCUAUCCAAUGUAAACCAAACAAAUACUUUUUAUUGGGGUGGUGGGGGGUGCUUAAAAGUUAUCCACCAUUAAUAUUCAAAUUUAAGAAACAAUCCAAUCUGAGCUUGAAGCUAAUGCUAACAUGCUAACUUGCAAUGUUUGGAGAUAUUACGAUAUGUGGCGACAUUAUGAACAUGUCCUCUUCUACAAGAAUGAAUUAGAUGACAGUUGCUGGAGACUAACCAACCAGAUUUCAAAUUUGAUGAGCUGGCGACCGAUGACGUCAGCGUUUUCCCGCCCUCCGAUUGGCUGGUCUUGAGCAAAACGCUUCAAGUCGCCAAAAACGUCUGCACACAUGAAUACGUUAAAUAAUCAGCAUCUCUGGCGCGUUCCAUUCAAAUGUUUGUUUUUUUGCCACGUGAUUCGAGAAAUGUUGAUCGUGAACUGCUGCAGUUGAUGAACAUCGUUAUGUUACGUCGCUUUUUUGGGUCGAUUGCCGCUUUGGAUCAUUGUGACGGCGGUGCGACUGGCUGCGGCCUUUGAGCCCUUAUGAAGUCAUCACACUUCUAUUUUAUGAAGGCUCGUUGAUAAAUAGCCCCCCCGGCGGCCCCCCAGCACCCCGCCGACACGCUCGGGCGGCCGCCGCCCUCAUUCCGCACUUGACUUGUUUACACAGCGGCGGCAGGCAGGAGGAUUUCCACGGAUUAAACAAAUCACCGGCCGACGGGAGACAUCCAUAACGCGCUAACGGGUCACUUACAAAUGUGUGUGUGUGUGUGUAUACUAUUAAGGGGGGCGGGGGGUCCACACGUGACCCCCCCCCCCCCAACCCCCUCAGCUUUAUCAUCCCAAAGAGGGCCAAGGAGGAGACAAACAUGCUUUUCUUAUCUUCCGACCACUUCGAAUGCUUUCCAACCGUUCAGCGAGCGCUCGCAAGACGUCAAAUGAUUUUGCUGAGUUUUAUUUCUGUAACAAGGGCUCAUCAAAGCUCAUCAAAUCUUUCUCUUCUUUUGUCUUCAAAAAAAAGUAUCUUAUUUGUCAUUCCUGUCAAUUACCUUUUUUUUUCUCUUUUUUUUUGGGUGCCAAUUUUUUUUCUUUUUUAAACAAAAGGUUUUGUUUUUUUUGCCAUUCAAAAAGCAAAUUGUGUUUUUUGUCGACAUUUGGACAUUUUUCUUAUUACAGUACUCGUCUUUUUGGUCCUUUUUAUUUUGAACAUUUCUUUUUUGAUAAUAAUAUAUAUAAUAAAAUAAAAUAAUGCUCUUCGGUCAUUAUUUUUCCCGUCGCUCAAGACGCUUCAAGUGAUAUGAAAAAUGUGUCAUUUGACAUUUGUUCCUGUACGUUUGAGUGUGCUUUUGUGUGUGUUGUAAUAUUGUGUAUAUGUGUCAGUUUGUGUGUGUUUGUCAGGCUGUCUUGUGUCCCUGACGUUCCAGGGAGAGGACGCCCCCCCCCCGUCAGAUGAUGUGGCUCUCGAUUUACCGGUGGAUCUCCGUUCCUCCCCUCACCUAUGGUCACGAGCUGUGGGUCGUGACCCAAAGAACAAGAUCAUCUCAGAGGAGAGCCACUGCUCCUCCACAUCGAGAGGAGCCAGAUGAGGAGGUCGGGGCAUCUGAUUCGGAUGCCUCUGGGUGAGGUGUUCCGGGUACGUCCCGCCGGGAGGAGACCCCGGGGACGACCCGGGACACGCCGGAGAGACUACGUCCUUGGGCUGGCCCGGGAACGCCUCGGGAUCCCCCCGGAAGAGCUGGACGAAGUGGCUGGGGAGAGGCAAGUCUGGGCGUCCCCGCCACCCGACCUCAGAUAAGCGGGAGAAAAAUGGAUGGAUGGAUGGAAACUUGGAAAUUUGGAAAAUAGCUCCCGAGAUGUCCUGAAUGAGAUAAAUAUGUUCAAGUUGGAA